rnacentral:lncRNA from 1 species
UUUCUUAACCCCUUUCAAAAACACUUUACUUUUCUGAUUUUGAGUACUAAUCAAUGACUCUCAAAAUAUUUUGUUUAGUCUGAUGAAAUCCUAGCUCUAUAUGUUUGUAUCUGUAUUAUCUGCUUGUUUGUGUGUUCCUCUGGGUUCUUCUUUGAGUUCCGUGCUCUUUGCUUGAAUUUUUGUUCCUUGUGUUUCAUUCCCCUACCAUGUUGUGUUCUUCUCUUAAAGUUUUUCUGGCUGUUUACAAGUUGAUUUUAUAUUGAUUCUUAAAAUCUCUCAUUAAGACUGUGAUUACUGGCCUUAAAUUGUGAUUUUGUGUAUUCUCCUUAUAGUUUGGUAUUGAUUUCGAAUUUCUUCCUCAAUCAGUGAGAUACAUUCCUCAAUUAAUAACUGAUCUCCUAUGUUUUCAAUAUCGUUCACUAAUUCGAAACUAUUUUCCAGAAUUAAAGUGGUAUUUUUCCCUAUAUGUGUACACAAGUAUGUUGAUUUAUUUACUUGACAUAUUUCCCUGGUUAAGUAUCAUGCACCUAGUCUUCAUUGUAUACCUUACACUAUUUUGUUUCCUUAUGUGACCAUGCCAUACUUUGUGAUUCCUUUCCUUUUAAAAUGAAUGCUUAUUACCGUUUGACUUUUAUUCCUUAAUUAACGGGGAGUCCAUAUGCUUAUUUGAUUAUGAUUGAUGCUCAGUUCCUUAAAUAUGGAUUGAUACCUUAUUUGUUCACUCAUUUUCAGUACUAUAAUACUCCUCACCUUUCUCUUUCAACACACCAACGCACACUGCAUAUCUCCCACAACCUCAGACUCUCUAAAUUCUCUCUUUCUCUGCUAUUACUAUACUCUAAUUCUUUUAAUUGAACACUCAAUCGGCUAAAAUCCAAGAUUUAGUGGCCUGGGUUGAUUACUUCUACACUACUGGGUUCUAAUGUUUGUUUACUUGGGUCUGCUGCUGCUGCUAUUCUCAUAUUGCUGUUGCACACUGUUGUUCUCUCUGCUGCUUACACUCUCUGCUCACCUUGUUCCUCUGUUCACUAUUUUUAUUGUGGUCUAUCACUUGCAACUUCUAUGUCACCCCUUUAAGAUACAGUUUCCACAACAACAUGUUUCUAUUACUUUUGCAUUUCAUAAUGUUGCUUGUAAGCUUUUACUUAUGGUUUUGUUGCUCUUUUUGUCACUAGCAUGUUCUUACUAGUCUAUUUGGUUCUGUUUAACAUGCUCCCUUACCCCCUCCCCUGUCUCAAUGAAUGUUUACUUUUGUACUACUACCAUGCAUCCAAGUCUGUUUGGCUACUUGGUUAACCUAAACCUCUGUUAGAGGCUAAGUGUAUUAGAGUUUG